GUACACCGAUGUGCCACCCGAGAAGACGGGCACAACAGCGACGUGGAUGGACGUCUCCCCGGAGCCCUCCACCUCCUCCGAUAACCCCGGAGAAGGUGAAGGGCCCUCCUUGACCCACGUCUCUGCGGACGCCGCUGUCAAACCGGUGGCGACCAGCAGUGACGACGAGUGCGUGUUGGGGAUGGGAGACAUCCGACUGAGCGAGGACGUGGACGAGGAGCUGCUAUCUUCUGAUGGCGGUUUCCCCCUCGCUCAGUAAACUUCACAUCGUCCAGAGCAACCUCCACAAAUAAAUGGACUCUCACAUCAGAGAGAGACCUGUGUGCCGUAAAGCUUUUAGCUGACGCCGCCACGGGUCUGCCUGAAGUGGUGCUCGCCUCUGUCUAUAUGGCGGAGACUGAUGUGCCACCACCGCAGGAAAUGGUACAGCUAAUCAACUACUGCGAGCAGAACGGCCAGAAUAUCAUCGUGACUACUGACUCCAAUGCCCACCAUCCGUUGUGGGGCAUGGAACUCGCAAAUGAUAGAGAUGUAAAACUAUUAUAGACCUAACCC